GGCCCCGCGAUAGUGUAAUGGUCAGCACGUUCACCCGGAAAGAGUGAGACGCGGGUUCGAUUCCCGCCAAGGGUCCA